CAAUGCGCGUCGCCUCCCCCACAGUCCUCCGAUUCUCGUUUUCCGCAAGGAAUGUCUAUCGUAGACCCCCCUCACAGGCUGGUUUGCCCACGGUGUGCCGCUCUCGAGCCUGUAUCAGGACCUCGCUGCCAGCCGCAUUUGGAUUCACCGUGGUCUCUUGCCGUCGAUUCCUCGAGGUCCAGCCUAGCCCGGGGGAACGAUGUUUCGGAACUUAACCCUAAGUAUACACGUGGUUUUCAGUUUUGCGCUCUUGUCGUUCGAACCGCCUUCUAAGUUGGCCGGGUUGUACCAGGAGACCGACACCGCUGAAUAAGCGGAAGGCUGAACGGAACACCUACGCCGACGGACUGCCGGGGAGGACAGCCCAGUCACCUCACGGUGCGCAAGAGGGGGGAUGCCAUGAGCCGUAUCGGUAAGAGCCUCUGGUCUGAGGACGCUCGUCGGCCCUGCCCGCUGGAACUAGCACAAUGGUCAAGAGUAGGCCGUCCAGGAGGUGCUGUCGGUUUGAGGGUGCGGAAGUUGCUGGUCUGCUAUGAGCUUGACCUCCGGGUCGAGCCUUGGCGGCAAAGGCGUCGGAAGUACGAGAAGAGAGGGUUUGAGCACAGAACUGGCCACAAACAAUCAGCCAAGCGUUUCGACAUUCUCCGCCCUGAAAUGCUGCUUUGCCGGAAAGCCCACUUGCCCGCGAGCCAGUUGGGUUGCAAGGACUUCAGGCUACACACGGAAACGAAAACGGCUGAUCAUAUCCUUCGCCAUUCUGCGAAAGCUCUCGGUACCCUCAAACUCGUACAAGUCCCGUCGUCGCUGUUCAUGGCAACCACUGCAACCAACCUGCACUUCUUCCCGUGGCUCCCUGUACCGCACCACAGCAGUAGCUACCGGUGUGUGAUGCUGGUUGCAUCUGGCCUGGCCAAGCGCAUUAACGUCCGGCCGUAGGCUCCGUCCUGCGGCUCAGGAAGGCGCCAGUCACUUGUCGCGGUCGUCCCGAUUUGCGACAGCUCCCUCCGGUUCGCACUCUUGUGGUGUACCUGGAGACGAUAGCUCGGCUUUUAUGGAUGUCUUUUGGCCGUGCGGAAUGCCCUCCUUGCUCGCUCUGUGAAGAGCAUCUGGAGAGGAAAUCAAAAACCAAUCCUUGUUGGCAGCGCAACACAAACAGAAGGAGCUCUCGGUACCGGUCCUGGACUCUUGGAAGGCUAUGGCGCGACUGCGCGGAAAACAUACGACGGCAUCGGGAUUUUGCGAUACUUGUUUGGGAGAGGCGAUACCGGUACAUAGGCACUGGCGUCUCUGGGUGCUUAUUCCUCGUCACGAUUGCUUGCAUCACUGGGACCCAUCUCGUGUUGGAGUCAAAGUUUCGUACUUGUCCGGCGGUGUUGGUACUGUGGCGUAAAGGACCUGCUCCCAGGAUCCUAAGCCUCGUCCCGUCCUUUCAUAUUGGAUCAAGGGGCAAGCCAAGCAGGGAGGCAGCCCCGGCUGUCCUCGUGCCUGAAAUGGUGGGAGGACAGCCCCCCUAUGGUGAGG
rnacentral:telomerase_RNA from 1 species